GCCUAGGUGGCUCAGUUAGUUGAGCAUCUGACUUCAGCUCAGGUCAGGAUCUCACAGUUUGUGAGUUCGAGCCCCACGUCGGGCU
rnacentral:tRNA from 1 species